CAUAUAAUUGGUGAAAACAAUGAGGUGAAAAUUUAGAAGAAAAAAUAUAUGUUUUUGAGAAGUUUCAAGGUGUAGAUUGUUGUUGUUUUUGUGGCUUAAAGUCAUUUUGUUCAGUAAAAUUAUCAGUGAAUAUCAGCUUGGUUACUAAAUUCGAUGUGUUACUGCAAAAUCAUUCAACUUUGACUUGGUUUCAAUGCUAUCAGUGUUGCUGGAUUUUGGUAUAAUUUCCACCAGAUUUUGACAUGACAACCUAGUAAAAUUUGCUAAUUUAGUUGUAUAAUUAAAAAUAGGUUAUUAAAUUUUCUUAGCCAACACAUAAAAAAUUUGGCAAAAUGUUUGCAAAAAUUUUGCAAUAAUGAUGUCAUUAAAAGAAAAUCAAAGAUAUGUGAUUUUUGUAUUGCUAAUUGAAGCUUAGUGAUGUGCUUAUUCAGUGAUACAUCUAGACCAUGUGUCAGAUUGAUGCAAGUAGAUAGAGGAGAGGAGAUAUUCAAUGGAGGAAAUUCUAUUUGUACCAGGGAAAAUGGUGGAAGUUCAAUUACUAGAUAAAGAAGAAAAGAGAGAAUCCAGAAGAGAGAGAAAACUAUUAUUGAUCUUCCCUA
rnacentral:misc_RNA from 1 species